rnacentral:misc_RNA from 1 species
AAGUCGUAACAAGGUUUCCGUAGGUGAACCUGCGGAAGGAUCAUUACCGAGCUUUAGGGACUCCUUCGGGAGCCCGAGACUCUCCACACCUGCGUAUGCAUAUCAUUAUGUUUUUAAACCAAACAAAACAAAAACUUUCAACAACGGAUCUCUUGGUUCUG